CAUUGUUGGUCCUCUAUUACCUCGGUGUUGUGAUUGCCUCAUUGCUGGUCAUCUCUCUCAUUGUUGGUCCUCUCUACCUCAGUGUUUUGAUAUCUGCCUCAUUGUUGGUCAUCUCUCUCAUUGUUGGUCAUCUCUACCUCAGUGUUGGUCCUCUGUACGUCAGUGUUGUGAUAUCUGCCUCAGUGGUGUCAUAAUACUGAGUGAUACUGUCACAAUUAACAACACCAUGACCAACACUAAGUCCUCCGCUGCUGCUGCUUAUAUUGACCCUCAGCUUAACAUGCUUAGGGUCGUCCUCUGGCCAUGUGCGACAGCCUAGAGCCAGUGUUGGGAUCGUGGGUGGUGAGGUGGCCACCAAGGGACAGUUCCCGUACCAGGUGAGCUUCCAGGAGAGGGUGCUCGGUGUGUGGAUACACUUCUGUGGAGGUUCUAUCAUUGCACCUGGCUAUGUUAUCAC